rnacentral:lncRNA from 1 species
AAUCCCAACUUUCUUUGCAAAAUCACUUUCGUUUCCCAUGUUUCCAAUCGUAAAUUCAAAACUGACAGUUCAUUAAUAUUGAGUUAAGUAAACACUACUCAGCUAGUGAUUUAGAUGUUGUUAGAAAACACAUCAAAUUAAACAAAUUUUAUAAAAACAAUAAAUCAUUUUGAAUAUAAAAAAAAAAAACUCGAAAACCACUUAAAAAAAUUAAAAGGACCACGUCACCAUGUAAGGACCAAAAAAAUUUGUAAAGCUAUUGGGCCUUAUAUGAGACAAUCAGGCCUAUAAGAUUAGGGACAUCUUGACCUUAGAGAGAAAUUUUUCAGAAAUUAGAAUUCAUUUAUUAGUUUUCCCCUCUCUAUCUAAAAGUUGGGUUCUUUAGAAGCUCUCCCUUGUCUCUAAACCUUGCUCCAUCUUCUCUUUACCCUUUCUCAAAUUUCUACCAUUGUUUUUCCAAAUAGGUGGUGCCCCUACGUUCACGGAGUCGAGGGCUUCCAAUCCAUCCGCUUAGUUUCGCGUCUCUCCACUGAUAAGGUAAAUUUCUCAUUCUCCGUACCCUAGGGUUUUACUCAUGCAAAGAUUCUACCUUGCAAGUAGAGUUAUUUUUAUUUUCCUUAUCCUAUCAAGCCCUAAAGACUAUGCUCUACACCAAUUUGGUGGCUUGUAUGUAUUAUCAAAAUUAUCUCUGUGCGAGAUACUGUUAGGACGUUUUCUAGGAAAUGUGUUGUGAGAACCAAAAGGUAAGGAGAGAUAGUUAUUUUUCUUUAAAUUUAUUACUUGAAUCUGAUUUGAAAAUGUAUGCAUGUUGUAUUCUAUAUUGUUGUACUGUUUUGGACUUUAUUUUGGAUGGUUUUUUGAGAAAGAUCGAGUCUCUUGAAUAAUGUGAACUAGGAAGAAGUAGGUGUUGUUGUCUCUUCUUUACUUGGGUACCUUGGAAUAUGAUAGUGAAUCAAAGAAAAGAAGAAGGGUAGAAGUGUAAUGUGUAUUUAGGUUUAUGGAAAGAUCAAAGAAAAACCUGUUGUUGGGCACAAGAUUGAAGCGUCAUGGUCAAAUAAAAAGAAGUAGAUAAGUUGGGUCUUUUGGGAGAAGUGGAAGGGAGAGUGAUAGGUUGUACAAAAAGGGAAUAAUGAAAGAGGAAGAUAAAUAUAAUGGUGGAAGAAUGAAGAUAGGUUAGUCUUGGGUUUUGCUAGGAUGGUUCUUUAUUAAUGAAGUUGCUAAGCCUUGAUGUGGAGUGAACCAUGCUGUCAGAUAUUUACAGAGGAAAAGAAAGGGAUUACGUAAAGAAGCUUGGAAUGGAUAGUGAGAAAUCUUCUUGUGGAUCUUUGGGAUUGUGUGGUCUCACAACGCACUCUAUGCAAGUAAUUAGGGAGGGAGCGUGUUGGUCCUGAAUGCAGAGAAGGUUGGUGUGGGUUUUGUGAAGGAGUUUACUAGAGAGUUUAAGUAAGAGAGAACGUUGAUACACCGUGAGUCUGUGAGUGAAAAAUGAAUGUUAGUGAUAUAUAUAAUAGAAGUAGAUAUAAAAGAAUAAAAAGUGAGAGAGAGAGAGUUGUUUUGGAUAUAGGAAAUUUUUAUGAAGAGCAUGCAAGAGAUGUAUGUAUGAAGGUUAUCGUGAUUGAAAUGAUGGGUGAUAGGAGGAGUUUUUUUUCUUUUUGUGCAUGAGAGAGCUACGUCCUGGGGAAGUGAUUUAAAUGAGGGACAAUGAUAUUUUGACAACUCUUUUUUAACAACUUUUUUAUAACAGGACACGUGUCAUCGUUUUAUUUGUUUGUUUGAAUUUAUGUUUAGAAAAAUAUUUGAAACGGACUAAUCAUAGACUGCCACGUAUACGUUGUCAAAAAGAAGUUGUUAAAGAGACUUUUUCCUUAAAUGAGAGAAUGAAUAUUGAUAGCUUUUGAGGAUCCACAUGGGUCCCAUAGAGAGAAGAGAGAAAAAAAUAAAAUAAAAUAAAAAUAUAGAUAGGAAGGGGGAAAGAGCUGUAUAGUAAAGCAAUGAGCAAUGUGGAGGGAAUAAAGAAAAAUAAAAUAAGAAAUUGUGGAAUGUGAUGCAGGGAUGAUUUAGUAUAUAGAAGUAGUUGGUGUUAGAAAAUUGAUAUUAAAGGGUUUAUAUAUUAUAUUAAUAUAGUACGUAUUUUAUAAAGAAAGUAUUAUAAUAUAUUAUAUUAAUAUAAUAUAGAUAUAGGUAUAUAUUUAUAUGGUGAAGAAGGAGGGAGUUACGUACUAUAUUUAUAUUAAUAUAAUUUAGUAUUAUAUAUAAAAGGUGCAUAGCAGUUAAAAAAUUUUAUUAAUAUAAUAU